rnacentral:lncRNA from 1 species
AAGGGAAGAAAAGAAGAACAAAAACCUAGCUAAGAGAUUCAAGAGAAAUUCACAAAAUUUCAAAGAAUCAAGUGACAAAAGGUAAGAUUUCUUAAUUCUAGCUUGUGAUCUACCUUUCCUAUGCAUUAUUUUGCAUUUUCCAUGCUUGAGAAUCAAGUUUACAUGAGGAUACCCUUGUUGGCCGAACACUUAGAGGGAGGUUUUGGUGCUUGAUUAGGUUAGAUUUCAAUGUAUUUUAGUGUUUUUAGUUAGUUAGUGAUGUGUAGCAUGAAAAUCAAGCAAGAAAAAUUCAUGUUCUUCCAUUACCCAUCAUUGGCCAAAUUCUCCAUGUGGAAUAUUGAUGAUGAUUUUGAUUUUAUUUCAAGUGAAUUGGUUAUGAAAUGAUGAAUUACGAUGAGAAAAUCAAGUAGGAAAAAUCAUAGUAUUGAUGCACCCACCAUGGCCGAAUUUUCCAAGAGAAAAUGUGAGGAUGAUUUUUCCAUAUUUCAAGUUAUUUAACUUGUGUUUGAUUGUUUGGAGAAUUAGAAGAAAAAUGGAAUUAUUUGGAGUUAAAUUGGACAUAUUGGCCAAUUAAUCGAGUAAUAGAUAGAAUUAGGCCAAUGCCAUUUUAUUUAGGUACAUAAUUGAAUUUAUAUUGAACACCGUAUUUAGAUAGUUACCCGAGUAUUUCACAUCCCAUUUCAUGCAUUAGUAUAAAGCCUGAAUUGGUUUUAUAACAAUUUAGCACAAAUGUAGUAAAUGGCUUAUUGUGCAUUAUGUCUAGGUAGUGAGCAUUCUGGCAAAAGUAAAGAGAUAGUACCCGAGGAUCAAGAAUCGGAGUACUCGAAAUUCGACUCUUGAAAUAGUGAGUAACCUUACUAUCAUUUUAAUUAUCUAAAGUGGUUUUUAUCCGAUUUUGUUAUUUUAUGGAAAAUGAGUUAAAUGGUAAAUCUUUGUGUUUGUAAUUAAAAUGUGAUUUAAUGAAAUGAUUUAUAACAUUGUCUUGAAAUUGAAUGAUGGUUUGAAAAUAGAGUAAUUGCAGACUGUUUUCAUGUGUUGUAAAUUCAUGGUUUGAAUCGAAUGGCUUAUGACAAUAAUUGCAUGAAUGAUUGAAUUGGUAUUUGUGUUGAAAUAUAUGAACUGUGUAUUUAGCCUUGAGAGGCUGGAUUGUGAUAUAAUUGCCAUGUCAUGCUAUCGCAAAUUUUAUUGUAUGGUGGGUUUAGCUUGCUGCAGUGGGUGGGUUUUGUGGACUAGCCUUUUUGAGGGGCACAAAAUCCUGUUAUAUUCUUACCUCGAUUGGGGAGGCGUGUAGGGUAACUCCCGAGGUACAACUUUAGAGUUCACUUCGUGUCAAACCACCACAUGAGGGUGAACUCAGCCAAUGCUAAGGAACGACUAUGUUUUCAAAAUAAAAACAUGAUUUAUGCGUACAUGACUUUUUAACAGCCUUGGCGAACUUGGUUGGGACAGCCCCAGGCCAAGGUAUCCCUAACAAUCGAGUAUGAGAAUGAUUUUGGCACGAGCCAAAGUUUUAAGAAAUUCAUAAGCCAUGUUGAUUACUGGAUUUAUAUGAAUUGAUUUUAUUUGGCUGAAAUGAGUUGAAAGGUGAUGAAUUACAGUAUGAUGAUCUAUUUUAAUCUGUCUCCAUUUACUCAACUUUAGAUAUUUUAUGUCACGACCCAACUUCCGGGCCAUGACCGGCAAGUCAUAUUUCAUAACUUGGAAUUCAAAAUAAUACUACACAUUGCCAUCUCAUACUGGCAUACCAAACAAGUGUAUAUACAUUGUCUAUAACAUGUAUCUUAACAAUUUACAUUAGGUUCAUUUAUACACAACAAAAUAAUACUCGACUUCCAACGGAGGGACUCGGACGAAUGUACAGCUACUGAAUGCUAAGACACCUAUUAAAAGAUGAAUACAAGUCUACAAGGACACCUCAUCCUAGUUACCGGCUACCUCGUGAUUUGAAAAAAUGAAGUUGAAAACAGUAAGUAUAAACCCAGUGAAUGAAUAAGGAAGGGAAGAAGCAACAACAAGGGGAAAUUUAGAAUCAUGAUGCACUUGUUUUAAAACAAUGCAAUUUAAUUUCAUUCAUAUUAAAAACCCCUCAUUUCAACCCUUAUAUGAUUAAUCAAUUGGUAAUGAGGAACCCAAACAUAACAAAUAAUUUGAAAAAAAUGAAGGCUCUAGUGAUACACCAACAAGACAAAUGCGACGACGAAUCUUCGCUGCAGCGUAUGAAUUUUCGCUGCAGCGACGUUGGAAUUAAGUUAUUAGCCAAACGUGGGUUUCUCAACUGGCCAAGGGUUUCUCACUAAACCUCCUCAUUUUAAGCUUAACUCAUUUAGUCCUUAAUGUUGGAGUUCAUGCUCAUAUAUGGUAGCAAAGAAGUUAAAAAUAGAGUAACAAUUGGACAAGAUAGGACACAGAAACAGAAGGUUUUUCGCUGCAGCGAGAAUGAAUCUCGCUGCAGCGAAAUUGUAACCCAGAAACAGAAAGUUUCUUGCUGCAGCGAGGAUGAAUUUCGCUGUAGCGAGUUUUUGGCCAAUCUACCCCUCCAAACCCGAGAGUUUCUUGUUGUAGCGAGAUUCAUUUUUCCUGCAGCUAGAAGUUACAGUGACUAUCUCGCUAUAGCGUGACUCAUUUUCACUGCAGCGAGAACCAAUUCUGGUGAAAGGUCCUCAAACCAUAGAGUUUCUCGCUGCAGCGAGAACAGAGCAACAAGAGAAAAGUUUCCCUCCACUCAACAAAAAGGCCAUCCUGCUAAAUGCACAAAAUCCACAUACAGCACAUGAAAAUUCCCAAAGUGUAAUGUAUCAAAUUUCUCAUAUAUGUCAAUCAUAUAUCACAUUCAUAAGUUUUCAUUUCAUAAGUCUAGAUAUGCAUAAUUACAUAGAUAAACAUCAACAUCAUCAUAAUCACACCCGACUCUUGUACAUCCCCCCACAUCGUGCACAAGGGCACUAUCAUCAUCCAUCUCUCACACCACCAUCAUCACUGGCAUGGGCAUUCCCCCACAUCGUGCACACACAUGGUUACAAUCAUUAUACACAAUAUCAUUCAUCACGCACAACACACACACACACAUAUAUAUAUAUCAUAAUCCAAUAGUACAUGAAUCCAUAGCAAUUAUAUAUCACAACAUAAAACUAUUUGACAAAAGCUUGUUCCCAAGGCAUUUGCUUUUAUAAAAACUUGAUAAUUCAUUUAAAUGGGUGGCAAAUACAUUAUAUCUCCCAAACAAGCUUUGAAAACAGUCCACUCACCGAUUUAUUGUUGAGCCUUUAGUUGACUCUAAUUCCCCUAAUGAUCCAAUUGGAAGGAUGGGACUUCAUUAGAACCUAGGAUCACAUUAGCAUAAGCAAUAGGUCAAUUCACACACUAUGAACCCUAAAAGCUAUCUCUUAGCUAGCUUUCAAUUGCCACAUUAAAUGGCUAUCUAUGCUCACUAUCUCAAUCACAAAAAGUAAUGAACAUAUUCAAUAAUAAAACAGCUCAUAAAUCCCAAUUACUAGCCAUUUUCUGCAGCUAAAAAUCGAGCUUAGUUCAUCAUUUACCUUAGGGCUCCUUUGUAGUCAAAUUCUCUUCCAAUAGCUUCCAAAUAAAUGGUGUAAUUUUCUUUUUCUCUCUCUAAAAUGUCCAGCUAGUGAGAGAAAGUACAGAAAUGAGAUUUAUCAAGGGUUUUGAAGUGAGAGAGUGAAAGAAUACUAGGGUUCUAGUCAAAAGGGCUCAAAAGUAUGAAAACUAGAGCUAAAGAGAGAAAAUCAUGCAAGCUCCAUAUCAAGCUUCCAUGGAGGUUUUGAAGAAACGUGAGAGAGAAGAAGAAGAAGAAGACAAGCUGCUGGAAAAUGGGAGAAGAAGCUGCUGGAAGAAAGUAUUUAUAGGCCAAGCUUAUCCAUUCCCUUAAAAUUACCAAAUUGCCCCUCCACCAAUUAACUUACUCUCCACCAAACUUUUAUGAAAUCUUUUUGUUCUUUUGACACUGGGAUAAGGUCCAUAAUGGUCUAAACAUACUCAGGUUCAUGAAAACAUAAAAUUUUAACCCGAGGUGAAAAAUGACCAUUUUGCCCCUAUCGUGAAAAUUACUGUCAUUUCUAGUUUUCUUCGUGUUUUCAUCAUUACACAUCAUUUAUGUAGUCUUAUGCCUAUUUGGACCUUAAAAAAUCAUAAAACUUUAUUUUGGGAGCUUAUUAGAGAAAAUGACGAAACUACCCUUGGCUCGUAUUAUUACAUCUAUUCUUAGUUACAAGCCUAUAGAGGUUGGGGUCUCACAUUUUAGAUGGUAUUUGCUUACCCACUGGGAUUAUAUAAUCUCACCACCCUCCUUUCCACCCAUUUUAGGCUCAAGAUAGUCGGUAGAUAGCUCAUUUCGUUAAGGGCUACAGUUGGACUUGCAUCCUCAA